rnacentral:sRNA from 1 species
GGUCCCUUGCUGUGUGUCACGUGAAGACAUUUGUGAUCGAUUGACAAUCCGGCCAACGUGGUAAUCGUACAAGUAUAGUUGUCGAUCCUCGUUCCAGCUCGGGCCGCUCUCUGAAUGCUUUGUAAUAAGAAGCAACAGAGCCACUUUGGUCGCCACCACGGCCUCUUGCUCUGCCUGCCUGCCUGCCACGCCACGCCACACUUUAAUUGGCUUUAGAUCGUCUUUGCGGGGUCAAGAGUAGUACUUUCGGAGGUUUGAAAUUGGAAGUAUCGCAGAAAGCCCUGCAUGUGAUAUCAAUCGACCUAUGCCUGAAAGAAUCCUCAACAAGUGCGGGCCGAUAUCGAUGCUCCGCCCGACCAUCAUUUCGCCCUUGCGAGACAAGCUUUCACCACUCACCACUCUGUCAUUCGAUCUGGAAUGGUCAGAGCGUCGUAUGGGCCCUUGGUUCUGCGAGGAACACGGUGGAGGGAGUCGGUCUGAUGUAUCUGAUGAUGAGUUUAUUAUAAGCUUAUUUCCGCGGUGCACGCCAGGCGGCUCAAACUACGAACGGAAUCAAAUUCGGCAUAGUGGUCGGGAUCCAUAAGUUUGCUUAGGGUGGUGUGGUGAAGCAAAGCCAAAUGAAUACUGC